AAUUAUCGCUAGGUUCAUUUAAUUAGAAAUUGCUCGUCAUUAAAAUUAGGCCAUUUGGUUAAUUUAGAUUGCACCUUUAAUUAUUGGACAAUUUUCAUUUCGAAUUUCAUGAAAAAUACCAAAAAGAAUUGUCUUAGAAUUAAUUUUAUUCUCUAGGAUAUAUUGCAUGCUUAUUAAGAAAACGCAAAAACAUCGCAUUAGGCCAUAUUAUCAUGUCAUAUUAUUCCAUGUUAGAUUAGUAGCAUGCAUUGCACAUUGCAUGAUUUUUAUUAAAUAAGUGAAAACAAAAAAAAAAGAAAUUGCGUGUUAAUUAGAAAUCAUAUCUAGGACUGUUGAUGUAAAUUCCGAUCUAACACUGCAGAUGCUUUCGUUGCUAUGAGGUAAGUCCUGCAAUUUAUUCAUCGCUUUCUUGGGUGUUAAAUUGGUGGUUUGCGCACCCGCAUGAACACCUCACAUGUUAGGAAGUUAAAUUAAAAUCAAUCCAAAACUGCCUGCAAAAAAACAUUUUUGAAAAUAAAGGAAUGGUACCGAAAGGGCAUUAGAGAAAUCUAGUGUAACCAAGUCCCCGAACUCACAAUCUCUGGUUCGUAGGAGUGAAGUAAUUCUCCCAUUACUUUACUUGGGUUUCUAAUCGACCCACCAAAAAUAGAUUAGUGGCGACUCCAUGAUAAACAUCAUUUGCAUAUUAAGA
rnacentral:lncRNA from 1 species